rnacentral:rRNA from 1 species
GUUUGAUCCUGGCUCAGAAUGAACGCUGGCGGCGUGCUUAACACAUGCAAGUCGCACGAGAACUCUUCUGCUUGCAGAAGAUAGUAAAGUGGCGAACGGGUGAGUAACGCGUGGGUUAUCUACCUCCGAAUCGGGGAUAACUCGCCGAAAGGCGGGCUAAUACCGGAUAAUAUCUUUUAUGCUUCGGCGCAUUAGAUCAAAAGUGGCCUCUACAUGUAAGCUACUGUUUGGAGAUGAGCCCGCGUACCAUUAGCUAGUUGGUAGGGUAAUGGCCUACCAAGGCGACGAUGGUUAGCUGGUCUGAGAGGAUGAUCAGCCACACUGGAACUGACACACGGUCCAGACUCCUACGGGAGGCAGCAGUGAGGAAUUUUGCGCAAUGGGGGAAACCCUGACGCAGCAACGCCGCGUGAGUGAUGAAGGCUUUCGGGUCGUAAAGCUCUGUCAAGUGGGAAGAACAUGUUCGAUAUUAAUACCACCGUGCACUGACGGUACCACUGAAGGAAGCACCGGCUAACUCCGUGCCAGCAGCCGCGGUAAUACGGGGGGUGCAAGCGUUAUUCGGAAUCAUUGGGCGUAAAGGGCGCGCAGGCGGCCUCUUAAGUCAGACGUGAAAGCCCGGGGCUCAACCCCGGAAGUGCAUUUGAAACUAAGGGACUUGAGUAUGGGAGAGGGAAAGUGGAAUUCCUGGUGUAGAGGUGAAAUUCGUAGAUAUUGGGAGGAACACCUGUGGCGAAGGCGACUUUCUGGAUCGAUACUGACGCUGAGACGCGAAAGCGUGGGGAGCAAACAGGAUUAGAUACCCUGGUAGUCCACGCCGUAAACGAUGGGAACUAGGUGUAGCGGGUAUUGAUCCCUGCUGUGCCGAAGCUAACGCAUUAAGUUCCCCGCCUGGGGAGUACGGUCGCAAGGCUAAAACU